CCCCGCGCUGUGCAGUGGUGGUGACCACGAGGCCUCAGUGUCCCAGGACGGCUCACCCAUGUCCCUGCAAGAGUGGGGCUGUGCCUUACGAAGUCCGGACCAGCGCUGCGCUGCUCUAAGAGCCCAGGGUCACACAGCACAAGAUUCAUGGCUCUGAUGACCAUGCCUGCUACUCAAGGCAAGAAGACACCAUGCAAAUGAUCCAGCGAGGCUCUCCAGAAGAGGAAGAGGAAUCACACUGAAAUCUUUACUGGUUUAGAUAUGCGGCCUAUAGACAAGUAAGUAAGUCUCACUAUUGUUGAAUUUUAAUAAGUAUCAUUUGGCUGUUGGCACACAUGGGCUGAGAACUACAAAUAAUUAUCUUGGUAAAGAUAACAGUUACCUUGGCCUUCUUUGUAGGUAGAGGCUGAUUUGAGACUCUUUGUGCCUUAAUCCUGACUGCAAUGUUAGUGCCUUAACAACAGAUUUGGUGACUGAGCAGAGGUCCCACAUACCUUAACAUGCAGUCAAAACUCUUGUCUUAACUUCAAGAUAAAAUUCAGUUUCUGUACCUCAGGACACGCAACCCCUCUCGGUUCAGCUAUUUUUAAAUGUUUGAGGCUGGCUGCUCCUGCUGGAGAAAUUCUACCCUGACUGCCAUGAAGCUGAGAUUACCAGAGCUGGGGUUUUUUGCUUGUUUGUUUUUCCCAAUAAAAAAAAUUGCCAUCUACCAAAUAUGCAUCCAUUUAAAUACCACAGCCUGAUUUUGAAACACAGCCCACCGCAGGCUAUUGCCCAGUUCAGUAAAGAAAAUUUAACUAUUAGUUGGCUGAAUUCAACGUGGAGUAAACACUAAAUACAAUUUUUAAAAAGAUGGGCACCAAUGCCACUAGCAUUUCGUCGUUAAACUAUUAAUCUUCCUAUUUCAACAAUUAAGUGCACUCUGAAAAUAAGCUGUCAGGGAAAUAAAUAACAGAUAAACAACUCAUAUUAACAACAAAUUGUCUAUGUACAACAAAAUUCUAUGUUAGUCACUUAACCUUUACAGAAUAUUGUUAUAAUGGAAGCCCUUUUGUGCCCCAGCUUGUGUCUCUGUCAGGAGCAGCUGGAGAGCCAACUAUCUCGACUUAACAACACGAUGCUGCAGAAUUACAGCUCUGCCUUGCUCAGGCACCAGAUGUGGUGACUGAACGUCAGCGGUGAUGCUUAGUGUUUGGGGAGAGCCUUCCAGUACUGGGUUCUGUUUUGCUAAUGCCAGCUGACAAAAGUUAAAGCAGGCAGCCAUAGAAAAUAACAGCCUCUGCAGUGAGGUUAGGGUUGUAUUUAUAACAGGAAUGCUUUACAAUAAUGCUGACACCAUUUUAUCAUCACGGUUCUCUCCUACAAACCAUUCAUGUGCAAACUAAAGAGCUCUUCCCACUACUGCUUUAUACCUGUACCAUUGCUACAGUAGGCUCCAGUGAAGGGGAUAAAUGCCAGACAGGAAUUGUAAGGGUGCAUUUUAUUUUUAGUUUGUGCAUGUAUCUUCUCUUUUUUUUUGUAUGUUUGUUGUUUUUUUUGUUUUGUUUUGUUUUUGUUUGUUUGUUUUGCAUUGGUAUACAAACUCACAUUGUCCAUUUCAGAGUUAAAGAAAAUGAACUUUCAUAACCUCUGCCACUUCGGAUCACCUCUUUAAAAUGUCACUUUACGCAGAAAAGCCGGAGGUAAUUGAGAUAAACAGACAUCUGUACAUUUCAGCCAGUCAUUUAGAAAACAUCUGUAUCCAUCCAUGCAAUGUUAAGACUAUAAGUAACUUUGCAGUUACAUCUGAGCCCAUUGCUAUGGCAACAAGGUAGUCUUUAUCUCCCACAUGCUUUCUACUGAUUCCUUUUUUUUUUUUUUCUUAAAGCAGCUUCCUGAAAUGAAAAACAGAGAAGCAAUGAUUAAGUUAGUCUCUUUCAAACUUUGGAUUCAAGGCUCAUGUGAGGCAGCCCUUUCUAUUUUCCAGCUGUGGAAAAUUUAGAAGCUGAUCUGUCUCAAGAUGAAAAAAUGAACAACUGACAUGGAAAAAUGUGAACUGCAGUUAUUUUCAAUUAAAAGAAGUGGAGUUGGUGAUCUUGGAACACAAGGGUUUUGCUACUGCAGUUAAUUUUCAUCUGAUCCCAAGGAAUUGUACUGCAGUAUCUUUCAAACUAACAGAGCUAUCUGUAAUUUGCUGUUUGCUACAGUGAGAAACCAGUUCAAUUCUGCAAUAGCCUUUUCCAUGCUUAACUUGCAUCAAAGCACACAGCUCAGCUUGACUAACUGUUUGGAACUGUAAGCUUUUUAUUCUGAUAACGUCUCCGCAAUAUCAGACAGUAUUGUGCUAGUGGCCUGCUAGUUUUUGGUUAGCUGCCAAGUCUUGAGCAUGGAAGAUCAAUUAGUAUGCUUUUAAAAUUUUUAUUUAAAUUUAACACCAGGUAAUAUUAACGAUGCUAAAAAGAGGUAAGAAGGUUCUAUUUGUACUUGAAGGGCCUAAUUGAUGUCCGUCAGCGCUCCUCUGACACCCAUUAACUUUGGAAUUCUUCAGUACUUUGAACGUAGCUGCUGGGGAUACCUACUUUUGACGAUACUUUUCCCUACACCCAAGCUGGAUUCACACCUCUCACCAUCGCUUAAGGAUUUGCGGUUAGCUCGUGGAUGUAAAUCCCUUCUCCUCAGCCUGCUAGAGUGAACGCUGGAUACCAUGUACACAACAAG